UACGUAGGGGGCAAGCGUUGUCCGGAUUUAUUGGGCGUAAAGAGCGUGUAGGCGGUUUGGUAGGUCCGUUGUGAAAACUCGAGGCUCAACUUCGAGCUGUCGGUGGAAACUUUCUGGCUAGAGUCCGGAAGAGGAGAAUGGAAUUCCUGGUGUAGCGGUGAAAUGCGCAGAUAUCAGGAAGAACACCGAUGGCGAAGGCAGCUCUCUGGGACGGUACUGACGCUGAGACGCGAAAGCGUGGGGAGCGAACAGG
rnacentral:rRNA from 1 species